CGCCGCUGCCGCAGCAGCAGAAGGAGGCGACGGUGAUGGCGGCGUCCUUGCUUCUUGAGCUGGCGGCAGCGGACGACGUGGCGGCGGUGAGGAGGGUCGUGGAGGAGGAGAAGGUGUCUCUUGGCGUGGCUGGGUUGUGGUAUGGGCCUUCGGCGAGCGGCGUGGCGAGGCUCGGGAUGGAGCGGAGGACGGCGGCGAUGGUGGCGGCGCUGUACGGGAGCACGGGGGUGCUUGGGUAUGUCGUGGCGGCAGCGCCGGCGGAGGCCGCGCGCGCGUCGGAGACGGAUGGGGCCACGCCGCUGCACAUGGCGGCUGCCGGUGGCGCGGCGAACGCGGUCGCGGCCACGCGCCUGUUGCUCGCCGCGGGGGCGUCGGUCGACGCGCUCUCGGCUUCGGGGCUCCGCGCCGGUGACCUCCUCCCGCGCGCCACCGCGGCGGAGAAGGCCAUCCGGCUGCUGCUCAAGUCGCCGGCCGUGUCGCCGUCGUCGUCGCCGAAGAAGUCGGCCUCGCCGCCGUCGCCGCCGCCGCCGCAGGAGGCGAAGAAGGAGUACCCGCCUGACCUGACGCUGCCCGACCUCAAGAGCGGACUGUUCAGCACCGACGAGUUCCGCAUGUACAGCUUCAAGGUGAAGCCGUGCUCCCGCGCCUACUCCCAUGACUGGACCGAGUGCCCCUUCGUCCACCCCGGCGAGAACGCGCGCCGCCGCGACCCUCGCCGCUACUCCUACAGCUGCGUGCCUUGCCCGGAGUUCCGCAAGGGCGGCUCGUGCCGCAAGGGCGACGCGUGCGAGUACGCCCAUGGCGUGUUCGAGUGCUGGCUCCACCCGGCGCAGUACAGGACGCGCCUCUGCAAGGACGAGGUCGGCUGCGCGCGCCGCAUCUGCUUCUUCGCCCACAAGCCCGACGAGCUCCGCGCCGUCAACCCCUCCGCCGUGUCCGUCGGCAUGCAGCCCACCGUAUCGUCGCCGCGCUCCUCGCCGCCCAACGGGCUCGACAUGGCGGCGGCGGCGGCGGCGAUGAUGAGCCCCGCCUGGCCGUCGUCCCCAGCGAGCCGCCUCAAGACGGCGCUCGGCGCGCGGGAGCUCGACUUCGACCUCGAGAUGCUCGCGCUGGACCAGUACCAGCAGAAGCUGUUCGACAAGGUGUCCGGCGCGCCGUCGCCGAGGGCGAGCUGGGGCGCCGCGGCGAACGGCCUCGCCACCGCGUCGCCGGCGAGGGCCGUGCCGGACUACACCGAC
rnacentral:lncRNA from 1 species